rnacentral:rRNA from 1 species
UACGUAGGUGACAAGCGUUGUCCGGAUUUACUGGGCGUAAAGAGCGCGCAGGCGGUCGAUCAAGUCGAGUGUGAAAGCCCCCGGCUCAACUGGGGAGGGUCAUUCGAUACUGAUCGACUCGAAGGCAGGAGAGGGUAGUGGAAUUCCCGGUGUAGCGGUGGAAUGCGUAGAGAUCGGGAAGAACAUCAGUGGCGAAGGCGGCCUGCUGGGCUGUUGCUGACGCUGAGGCGCGACAGCGUGGGGAGCAAACAGG